GGAUGAUUUACAAAAUGAAAUACAGGUGCAGCCAAUGUUCCAGCAACAAAAGAUAAUUGAAUAGCAGUAUUGAUUUUACUUAUGGAUGUUGGAGCUAAUUGUGCUGUUGCAUAUGUAGGAUUAAAAUAUCUUGCAAAAGUUUUCUGAAAUAUAUUUUAUAAAUAAACAAUCACUUAUACAAAUACUUAUAUAUAAUUUAGUAAUAUAUACAUACUGGAGAAGGAAUAGGAACCAAUCCUACCCAGGCCAAAGAUAGGAAUAGUGUACCUACAAGUAAUUUAUCUGCAACUGGAUCUAGAAAAGUACCAAGUUUAGAAGCUUGUGAUGACCAUGUACGUGCAAUCCAUCCAUCAGCUAGGUCACUAAAUCCUGCAAAUACUAAUAACCACAAUGCUAUCUGUAACAAACAAAUCAUAAAUAUCAAAAAUAAUAAACAUAUAUUCACAUA